AUUUGAUAUUGUUUGGUGACUGGAAACGGAUACAUAUGCCGGCGAGCUCUGUUUCUUUUGUCUUGAUUCUACUGGUUCUUUCGAAGCAAAUUUCAGCGCCGGCUUUCGAUCUCAGAAACUAGUAGAAUCCAUGGCCUCCAAGUUACUCGUGCAUGAACAAUUGAGGAAGAAGAUGUUGGGGUCAAUUGAAGUUCGAUCUCCUCUCGGAAACCCUACAAAUUCUUCCUCCUCCGAUUCUCCUCUUUCUCUGCUUCACAACUACUCCAAUUUCAAGAGAAGUGGGUUACCUUCACGUUUUAUGUUCUAUUUCCAUAGUUCUUGGGUUGAUUUCCCUACCCAAGUGCUUGAAAUCUUGCGAACGGCUUUCUCUGACCGGAAUCCAGCGGUGGAGUUGCAAAUUGAUGGAUCGAAGUACUUAUUUGAUUUGUACAGGAUGUUGCAGAUUGAUUUAGACACUGGUAGACAGAGAUCGGUUGCUUGGAUCGAUGAUAAGGGCGAGUGUUUCUUCCCUAAAGUUUUUAUUGGGGAAGAGACGACGAAUAGCUCCCCGAUUUCUUGUAGUCCGAAAAUUGAAAUUUCGAUUACGAUUGAUGGGAAAUCCGGGAAGAGAAAGAGGGAAACUAUGGAAGAAAAUGAAGUCAGUUCUAGUAAUGAACAUAUGAAAGUGAAGGCAUCGAAAAUUCCUCGUGUCGUUAUGAAUGAUUCAGAAACUUCUGUAUGGCCGAAGACGAAGGUGCUGAAUGAAGGGGAUAGUGGGUAUUCGUUAGUAAGCAAUUCCCUUCUCCCUUCAAUGAAAAAAGUUGAUUCUACCUUUUCAAUCUCCGCAAUUCAUCGGUGUACCAGAACGGGGCCACUGGAGAAAGCUCGUCUCGAUGUGUUUCUGAAGCAAAAUGAGAUUACAACGGCUGCUCGUGGUGUAUCUAAUAUGGUUUAUGCAUGGUAUGGAGCUUCUGCAAAAACUUUAGCCGGAAUUUUGGCUCAUGGGUUCGGAGAGCCAGUUCAGAUUCCUGCUUCUGAUACCACCCAUGGCAUUGGAGUUUAUUUAUCUCCAUUGGGUUUGCCCCAUUUAAGUUCUAAGCUAUCGGAGGCCGAUGGCAAUGGAGUUAAACAUAUGAUUUUAUGUCGAGUUAUAUUGGGGAACAUGGAAAAAGUUGGAGCAGGAUCUCGACAAUCCCAUCCUUCGAGUACAGAGUUCGACACUGGUGUGGAUGAUCCAACAUGUCCAAAACGUUAUAUUGUAUGGUGUAGCAAUAUGAACAGACACAUUUUACCAGAAUAUAUAGUGAGCUUCAAAUCAACAUCUCAUCUGCCGGGUAACUUGAGAGAAUCGACUGAGACAAAGUAUCCCCUUGUGAAAUUACUUUCGAAGAUGAGGAAUUCCCUGCCUCCCUCUAAAGUUCAAGAAGUUGCGACGUUGUUUCAGAAAUUUAAGGUUGGACAAUUGGCAAAAGAUGUUCUUGUUAAAAGGUUACGAUCAAUUGCUGGAGAUCAGAUGCUUCUAUCCAUAUUUCGUGAAAGUCGUGGAUGACAAUGAGUGAAAUGCAGAAAAACAUGGAACUGAUAUGCCUUCCGGUAUCUGAGCUUAAAUAUAGAUACUGAUAUCAGAAAGAACUGAUGGUUCGAAAUUUCUCUGGAAAUUAUUGGCGAGGAUGAUUUUCCCUCAAGUACAGCUAGGCGCAAGGGAUAAUAGAUGUUUCCUUCUAGUUCUAUCAUUUGUUUCCAUCUUCUAGGGGUAUGAAAAUCACUUGGUAUGGAAUCCCACGGGUAUGAAAAUCACUUUAUUAUCUUCUUGCUUUUCUGUUUUUCAAUUUUCACACAUGCAUUUGUUUAAAUAUCUAGUUUCUCCCUUGUUGUAGGGUCUUACUUUUUGUAAAUCUCUUAACUAUUAAUAUCACGUUUCAAAUAGUUUUACUUUCAAUACUAUUACAGUAUUAGAACUCAGAUCUCCUUUUUCUCACUGUUUUGAGUUUUGGGGUUUUCUAAGUUAAGUGGCUUGACAUUUAUAGUUCCAUACAGAGGAAGAUAGUUGGGAUGGCUACAGUUCAAGGAUUCUUCAUGAAACUCCUUCCCUCGAUAUGUUCGUGGCCACAUUUUUGUUAGGGCCAAGGAGGAACUCUUUGUAAUUUCUUUUCCAUCUUACUUCGUUUUAUGACUAUCUUUCAUUCGAACAGCUCAUCUCUAAUGAUAGCUUAUUGUAGCUUGCCUUUUUUAUUCUUUUUAUAAUAUAGACAUCUGACAUGCAGACACAUGGGAUUUGGAUUGUAUGCUAACAAAAAAUGUAUGCAUUUGGACUUGAGAUUGAAAUAAGGGUUUGAUUCUGCUUAGUCCUUCAGGCAUUGAUUUUCUUCAUCUUCCUUUUGAAAAUUUGAUUAAUACUGGAUUUAUGGAUUGGACAAGCAGAAUAACUGGUACCAGGAACAAAUUGAUCAGCACUCGCUAUUUUGUUUAUUAAUUCUAAUGUUGGGGCUUAUAAUUACUUGUAAGUUACUACUCAGUUUUUCGCAGGCUGCAAAGAUGGGGACAGCCUACAGGACGGAUUGUUGAGACUGGUUGGGGGCCCAUGCCAACUAUCUGGAUAAGUUAGAUGUUAGCUGAACAAUUGGUAACGAAGGGUGGUUUUAUAUUUCAUUUCUAUAGAAUAUUGGCGUAAUUAUCAUUAGCUCUUUGCUAUUGCUGACCCUGUAUAGUUGUAAUUGUUUAUUGUUAGACUUUCCUUUUUUAUUUUUAAACUAGCUCGUUUUAUGUAGUUCAAACUUCUUGAUGUCAGUCUCCUAGUGGUGAGGAAGAAUUCAUGUGCACUAUUCUGUUUGGAAACAUUGGAAUUUCUUAUUACAUGAAGAUGCUUGUUCUUUCGUUAGUCAAUGAUAUUUGGUGGAUAAUUUUUCGUGUAAAGUGAUUUUUCCCUCAACUUUCAUGUAUUGAUACAACAUUGUAUAUGACACCCAUUUCUUCAACUCAUGCAGUCUGUCUCGAGCUGAUGCUCUUUGGAGAGGAGUGUCCGAGUUGCCAAGGUGCUGACCGAAACAAAUGCCUUUCAUCUUUCAUUGUAGAAUGGAUUUGGAGCUUAGUCACUACUUGAACACCAUGGAUACAUAUUCAACACGUUGUCGGAUGCUGUCAACUCACUGUGUCUAAUAGCGAAAAGGUAGAAGGUUGGUGCAAAUCCAAAUCCAAAUCCACCAUCUUUUUAAUAUUGAAAAUGUAAAUUCUUAAUAGACCAUGAUCUUCAACACUUAUCCAUAUUUAGCUUCCUUGACCUUCGGGUAUACCGAAAAACAUCUACAGUUUAUUGAAUAUUAGCAUCGUUUAUAUGUAUUUAUAUGCAUCUUGAUAUUGAUGAUGUGUGAAAAAAGGGGGAAUUCUAUAGUAUGUGCUCGUUUUUUCUUUUUGUUUUA